rnacentral:tRNA from 15 species
UUCCUCAGUAGCUCAGCGGUAGAGCGAUCGGCUGUUAACUGAUUGGUCGUAGGUUCGAAUCCUACUUGGGGAGA